rnacentral:rRNA from 1 species
UACGGGGGGGGCAAGCGUUGUUCGGAAUUACUGGGCGUAAAGGGCGCGUAGGCGGCCAGACAAAGUCGAGCGUUAAAUUCCAGGGCUUAACCCUGGGCUGUUGCUCGAUACUAGUCGGCUAGAGUGUGGAAGAGGGUGCUGGAAUUCCCGGUGUAGCGGUGAAAUGCGUAGAUAUCUGGAGGAAUACCGGUGGCGAAGGCGGCAUCCUGGACCGACAUUGACGCUGAUGAGCGAAAGCUAGGGGAGCAAACGGG